GGAGCGAUACACAAGAACUCCAUGGUUCUUAAGCUACACUAUAUGAAAGUUUAGACUUCAUUUGCUCCAUUUACCAAUCAACUUAAGAAAUACAUCCAAGAAGUUCGAACAAGUAAGUUUUUUCAAAACUAUUGAGAUUUUAAUUGCAUAGAUAGCAAAGACUAUUCAACUUUUGUCUUUCAGAUUCAAUUUUGUAGCUUUGUGCUUAAUAGAAUGGAUGGUUUUGGGGGGGUCAUGUAUCAAUUUCAUUUCCUUUCAAUGAACAAUAUAUGCAAGAAGCAAUAGAAAUACAGAAUACUGAGCUAAGUUGAAAAUGUUUCAUCAUAUUAGUUUAAAAACUCCCUUCAAUGUGAUAUCUCAUUAUUGAUGAUCGUAAUAUUCCACUGAUAGUCCACGACUGUUUGACCAAUCAUGGUUCUCUCCAGAAGGAAUAAUUAAACCAAGAACUGACUCGAUUCCUUGUUAUACGUAAUGGUUCUCUUUAGUAUUGAUGUUUUAGGAUAUAAAAGUCAUUGUGAAUGCAAUCGAUAGUUCUCUAGGAUUUAAUGCAAUCACUGUGAAUGCAAUUUGUAGACCUUUUAGUCUUGUGAUACACUAUUGAAUGUAAUCUUUUUUUGUCUCCCAACCUUCUACAUCAAGACAUAAAACCAUGAAAACUAUAGACGAUUUAGACUUGUGAUACACUACUAAAUGGACAGUUGAAAUCCUGGUAGGAAACUCUACAACUAUGAGGAAACCAUAACAAAUUUCAAUCAUGAACAAAUUUGGAUCAGAUUUGAAAUUUAAUAGGACGUUUUAGACUUGAAGUUCUGAUUGAAAACACUCGAAGUCUUUUUUCAGUACUAUUAUAAUCUAAGAGCAUCCAGCGAGUUGAAUACCUUCUAGGAAGAUUAUCCAACAGCAGACAUCUAUAUGAUGCUAGCCUGCUACUAGUUCCUUUCGGAAUUGCCUCUAUUGUCUUCUCUUGAUACAACGCAUACUGUCCGCUACAUAUUUGGGUAGAAUUUGAAUUCCAGAUGAUCUACCCGUUUCUCCUUGGACCUCAACUAUCCAUAUGCACUCUAUAUAAAGAGAUGUUGUUGAGUCUCUAUGAUAUCCAUAGCACACAUUCUUGAUGGGGAAUUUCUCCAUUUGAACUAUCUUUUGUCCUCGAAUUUUUGUGUUUUGAUAUAGAUUUGAAUUCUUGCUUAAUGCAUAUCAAAGCUUUCCUAAUUAAUUUUCUUAUAUUCAUGCAGCUUGUUUAUGUUUCUAGAUAACCCUCGCAGAAUUUUAGAGUUUUUUUGGGAUGAGAAGUUUAACUAAUUUUAGUAUACAGUUUACAUAUUACUCCAAAUAUAUACCAAUAGUUACUUAUGGUCUUCUCAAAAAAUUUGUACUUGCAGAUUUUGAAGAUUGAAGUUACAAGGCAAGAUACAAGUUUAGAAGAUGGAAAAGAUCAUUAUUAUUUUGCUAUGGAAGUUAUACAAAACAUGAUAUCAUGGUCUAGCUUGAGAUGUUGAUUAGCUAAGCUUUUUUGUUCAGAAAAUAUUGAAACUAACAUCAUGGGAUGUUAACCAAUUUUUAUAUUUAUAUCA
rnacentral:lncRNA from 1 species